AGYCCGGAGGGGUCUUGRAMUUUGGGRGAMYUGAGWGCAGRAGAGSMGAKWGGAAUUCCACGUGUAGCGGUGAAWUGCGUAGAGAUGUGGAGGAACACCAGUGGCGAAGGCGACUCUCUGGUCUGUAACUGACGCUGAGGAGCGAAAGCGUGGGGAGCGAACAGGAUUAGAUACCCUGGUAGUCCACGCCGUAAACGAUGAGUGCUAAGUGUUAGGGGGGUUUCSGCCCCUUAGUGCUGCAGCUUAACGCAUUAAGCACUCCGCCUKGGGGAGUACGGUCGCAAGAYUGAAACUCAAAGGAAUUGACGGGGGCCCGCMCAAGCGGKGGAGCWUGUGGUUUAAUUCGAAGCAACGCRAAGAACCUUACCAGGUCUUGACAUCCUCUGACAACCCUAGAGAUAGGGCUUUUCCUUCGGGRACAGGAGUGACRGGKGGKGCAUGGUUGUCGYCAGCUCGUGUCGURARAUGUUGGGUWARGYCCCGCAACGAGCGCAACCCUUGAUCUUAGUUGCCAGCAUUUAGUUGGGCMCUCUAAGGUGACUGCCGGUGACAAACCGGAGGAAGGUGGGGAUGACGUCAAAUCAUCAUSCCCCUUAUGACCUGGGCUACACACGUGCUACAAUGGACAGAACAAAGGGCUGCGAGACCGCAAGGUUUAGCCAAUCCCAUAAAUCUGUUCUCAGUUCGRAUCGCAGUCUGCAACUCGACUGCGUGAAGCUGGAAUCGCUAGUAAUCGCGGAUCACAUGCCCGCGGGAAUACGUUCCCGGGCCUUGUACACACCGCCCGUCACACCACGAGAGUUUGUAACACCCGAAGUCGGUGAGGUAACYUUUAUGGA
rnacentral:rRNA from 1 species